GCAGAGAGGUCACACCCGUUCCCAUACCGAACACGGAAGUUAAGCUCUCUAGCGCCGAUGGUAGUUGGGACCUUGUCCCUGUGAGAGUAGGACGUUGCCAGGC
rnacentral:rRNA from 4 species